UACGUAGGGAGCAAGCGUUGUCCGGAAUCAUUGGGCGUAAAGCGCGUGUAGGCGGUUCGGUAAGUCUGUCGUGAAAUCCUGAGGCUCAACCUCGGGCGUGCGAUGGAUACUGCCGGGCUAGAGGGUGGUAGAGGCGAGUGGAAUUCCCGGUGUAGCGGUGAAAUGCGCAGAUAUCGGGAGGAACACCAGUAGCGAAGGCGGCUCGCUGGGCCACACCUGACGCUGAGACGCGAAAGCUAGGGGAGCGAACAGG
rnacentral:rRNA from 1 species